AAUAUAGAGUCGGAUUAUAAUCGACGUAGAUUUAAAAAAAGAAGAAUACAGAAUUUUUUAAUACAUUCUCAUAAUAAAAAGAACAUGUUCCACACAAGCAGUUGCGACUAUCGUUUUGGCGAAUUGAAGUGAUUUCUGCCGAGAAAAUAUUAUUUCCUAUUCUCGUGAAUGUUCACGCGGUCCGGAUUAAAGGUUCUUCCACAACGCUUACACGGCACCAGCUGGCUCAGAUGCGUCAUCCAAUUGGCCUCCGCCGUUGCCGCCUGAUCAACCACCACAUUUCCCGUGCAGGAAUCCUCUGCGAACAGUGAAGUCGUCAUUGCCAAUUGUAUCGAACCUUGAAAAGUGCAGGAAAAAUCUUAAAAAGAAGAUACUCGAAGAUAAAUCGACGAAUAAUGCUAACUGAUCUGUUUGAUUGCGAUAAAUCGAAUUUCGCAACAAAUUAACGUCAAGAUUAAAAGAUUGUACAAUAGCAAGAGACUGACUACGGAAACUCAAGUGCGCACAUGCUUUUUUCUUCUGUAAGGACUCACCGGAUACAUCGACGGUGAAUUUUCCUGCUUUCUGGUCGAUUUUUGUCUAUAGAGAGUCAACUGAUCUUUCUGCUCGCUCGCCGAAUCGUUUUGCAUCUGCCAUCGUCUACUACACUGAGGCUCAUGAAUCUUGAUGCUUCUGGUGCCAAAAUUUCGCCCACAAACCCGACAAGGAACAGUUGGUGGCACAACACUACGUCUAUUCGCUGUGGCUACUCGUUCGUUCUAAAAAAAACGAGGAUAUCAAAGUGUAACAAUUGAAGCUAUUUACCUCCAUACACUUGGGCUCGUGAAUGGGGAAACUGGCGGUGCCGAAUUCCCGGCCGCAAAUGUAGCACGUGACCGUCUUGGGACCCCGUUUCAUCGCGGACGACGACCUAGCCUGCUGGCCUGAGUCCUGGGAAGGACGAUCCUGAG